GACGAACGCUGGCGGCGUGCCUAAUACAUGCAAGUCGAACGCAGUGGCGGACGGGUGAGUAACACGUGGGUAACCUACCCAUCAGAGGGGGAUAACACUUGGAAACAGGGUCUAAUACCGGAUAGUGUGGGAUGGGCGCGCGGCCGAUCGGCUUGUUGGGGGGGUAAUGGCCUACCAAGGCGGCGACGGGUAGCCGGCCUGAGAGGGGGGACGGCCACAUUGGGACUGAGACACGGACCAGACUCCUACGGGGGGCAGCAGUGGGGAAUAUUGCACAAUGGGCGGAAGCCUGAUGCAGCGACGCCGGGGGGGGGAUGACGGCCUUCGGGUUGUAAACUCCUUUCACCAUCGACGCGGUAGAUGGAGAAGAAGCACCGGCUAACUACGUGCCAGCAGCCGCGGUAAUUC
rnacentral:rRNA from 1 species